GUCUGUGGCCAUGCUACCCUGAACAAACCCAAUGUCUGAUCUCAGAAGCUAAGCAGGGUCGGGCCUGAUUAGUAUUUGGAUGGGAGACCACCUAGGAAGACCAGAUGCUGUAGGCA
rnacentral:rRNA from 1 species